UCUGAACUCGCUUCUGCAGUGAACGAAUUAAAGUUAUAUAUUGAUCGAAAAAUUGAAAAUGCUAAAAGAAGCAUUUUAUAAUAUUUCGAAGAAAAAAUUAAAAAUGUGAAAGCUUUAAUUGCCGAGUCGCAUCUUCAAAACAUUGAACAAUCUUCUAAAAGUAGCAGUUAUUUACAGAUAUGUAAUAAGUUGCCUCUUACCACCCUAGAAGAUUUUAUUAUGUUUGAACAAGACAUAAAUGAAAAGGAAGAUGAACAACGUGCUUUGAAACAACUUUUACGAGUUUUUACAUCGGGAUGUAAUAAUUAUGAAAAAGAUGUAAAUAACAUCAUAGGAAAUGUCAUUAAAAAAGAAGUACAGUUGCUGUUUAGUGGCACAGGUCGGGUGGUAAAGGGUAGUGAAAAAAAAAGUUUCCAUAACACGAAAACGUAUGAAUGUAUGAAUGAUUUUUUGCAGUCAAAAUAUAAAGAUCACGCAUUAAACGUGUUAAGAGCUACCAGCCACUAUUUAUCAGGUGCAGGAGAUAGAGACGGCGGUAGACAACAACGGCUCACCGAGAAAACAACCUAGCAUAAUUUAUUUAUAUUUUUUUUCUACAUUUAUUUAUAUUUUUUUCUACGUUUAUUUAUG